UCUCCAAAAAUUGGAUUUUGUAAUGCAGACAUUAAAUUGGAAAAAAUGGAAUAAUUGAAGAAACCACUGAUCCAUGGAAUUUUGUUUGGAUAAAAACAAAGGGAAUUAUUAAAGAAUGUCAAGUUUUGAUAAAUAACAAAACAAACCUUCAACUUUCUUUUUUACUGCGCUCCUUGCUGCGCCAAUUUACGGGCCAUAAUUCCUGACGAGAAGGAGGAGGACGGAACUGGAAGUAACAAAAUCGGGUCAGGUCGGAGCUCAGAUUCAAUGCGAAUCCAAGGUGUUGAAUGUGAAAGCACGAUGGCAAAGUGUCCAUGGGAAAUCUUUGAUUUAUCAACUAACGUGUUGCUCUCCAGGUCUCUUCAUUUCUUUUCGUUCCCUCUAAAAUUAGCUAAUGCUUCCAACAGUAUGAUACAUAGCCACUUAUUGUACGCUUUGAUUGUAAGUAGAGUAGUUCAGAAUAUCGCUUUGCACCCGUUAUCAAGUUUCUAUUGAUGGUUUUUUUUUUUUUUUUUUUUUUUGCCUUUUAGAUACUAUAGGAAAUUUGAACUUCAAAUCUAUUCUUACAAUUCCACAAUAUGAAAAGUUGGAGGUACAGGAGAUUGAGAAAUUUCUGGUUUCUUUUGUUUUUCAAACAACCAUUGACAAACUCUGGUUGAGAAAAGGAAGAGGAUGAGAUCGAGAUUGUACAGGAGGCAGAGAGGUACAAAGUUGAAGGUGAGGGGGUUAAGACCAAGUUGGAUGCCAAGAAAUCACUCACUUGAGAGCUACACCUAAAACAUGAGGAGCAUCAUGACGGAUGAGAACGUUGAUGGGAAAUUGGACCCUGCACACAUGCUUUUGCUGCUACGGACUAAUAGAAUGUUAUCUGCUGGUCGUCCACACCUGCCAGAAUAGAGGGCAAAGUUUGCUCCAUAGAGCUUCCUUCCAGCACCAUCUGAUGACCUUUCUGUAAAUAAGCACGGGCGGUACAAUUAAAAGUAGUAUGAUGAUGCUUUGAAUGACGGUACCUUACAGGAAGAAACAUUAUCAGAUUUUAUAGUUUAUAAUCCAUCAGUUGAUUAGAAGAAUGAUACUGGAAAGAUAAUUAACAAUGUAUAUGGAUGCAAUCAAGAAGUAAGAUGAUGAUUGUACAAAGCAAUUUAGUUUCAUCACAUCAGCCGUGUAGAAGCGUAAAUCUGCUGAUGAAAGUACGUGUUGAACUGGGACAAAGGGAUCCAUUAGCAACUAAAGCUGCAGAUAAUGGUCAGUUGCCCAGCAGAAGCUGUCUCAGGCCUCUUAUGUGGAGCUGAGGUAAUAUACUUACGACUCCAGCUCCGCUAUGUAGAAGUGUUUUAUCGACUUGACUACAAAGGAGAAGCAAACAAGCGUAUGAUUGCUCCUAUUGUUUGGUCAAAUAAUUUAGAGGAAUCGUUGUCAUAUUUGCCUGAUGGCACAUUGUACGAAAACAAGUGUCAAAUAUGUUUAAAUCUUACAGGCUUCACUGAAAUAAAUUUUUUUAACCCA